UAAACAUAGCCUACUUUUCAAAACGUGACCAAAAAAGCCUGAGUAGUUUGGUUUUUUUUCCAUUCUAUAUCUAUUCCCUAAUCCCUCUCGCAGCAGCUUUCCAUUCACACAUUUUGCAUCCAGAUGUUAUUGCUAGUUGUGGAACUUGGUGAAUUAGCUCAGGAUUUUGAAAGCCAUUUCACAUUCCUGAGGAAACAGGCCCUCCUGAAGAAUUAGCUGGCUUAAGUAGAGUAGCUGGCAACCAGGGAGGAGGAGAGAACAGGAGCAGGGUCAAAAGGAAUGGGAAGAGGAGUGGAGAGCCACAUAAACUUAUAAAUAAGACUCUCCCAUGGUGAGAAUUCUAACUAAACAGUAGGAGAACGGAGCUCAUAAAGCUGGGGUGCAGCAUGGCAUAAUCAAACUCACGUUUUCUAACCACCAGAUCUUGCUUUCCUCUUUUCCACACCCUUUAUGCAAUGGUUUUGACUGCAGUUUUCUAACCAGCCCCACCCAGAAGGAAAACAGAACAAAUUAAAAGCUGAGCCAAGUGUCAGAAACGUUUCAGAGGGAUACAACACCUUCCCAACCUACACAACUGCACACACAAUCUCUUCGCAUAUCGAAGGUUAACCCAAUGUUGCCAUUUAUUGCUUGAUCUGGUCUGCAAGUUUUACUUUGAGCAUGGCCCCACUGAAGUGAUGAAAACUCCCAACAUAACCAAAUACAAUACUUUAGAUUCACUAAAUCAUGUGGAUUCACCCUGGAUUCACAAGUUCAGAUCUUCCUUGGUGGAAGGCUUACCAGACAAGCAGCAGCCAAAUAGGGACUAUGUACAGAAGGUAAACUAGAUCUCACUGAAGCGUAUGGCCAAAAUCUGACUUCAAUAGGGACCAAAUUUUACCUUACAAUCUGCCAAAAGAGAGAGAAGGAAAGAGUAAUAUCAAAUACUAUUGAGACAGAAAAUGCUUUGGAGCUCAAAAGCUACAAAAUAAGAAAUUUGUUCUUAUCUCCCCCAAAAUGGCCCAAAUCUACCCUGUAUUUUUAAUUCUAUGGCUAAAUCAGCACAAAAUGGUCUAAUCUGAUACAUGUCUUAGUAUAUAAUGGUGGAUAUUUAAACAAAUUGAAAAACUGUAUUUACAUCGAUGAAAUUAGGAAAAUAUCAGGAAAAUACUUCUUUCUCUUAUUCAGUCUCCUGCACUCAGGGGACCUCAAAACCAGCCAGGUCCCCAGCUUUCCAAACAAGUCUAAGGUCCACAGUCUGUAACAGUGCUUGCUACCAUUUUAAAACACAAUGAAUCUUUCCGGAUGUAUUUCAAACCUGCUUUUUCUUCCUGCUACACAGUUGUCUGCAGACAGCCUAGCUUUUUUCCCAACCUUAUCUAUUAUUCUGCAAAAAGAAUUAUUUCUAUAGAAGUUAAUGCUUCUUUUCCCCAACUUUUUAUCAUCAAGGUGACUUAUAAACAGCUGCAAUAAAAAUGGUUGUGCGUUGGGGUUUUUUUCACACACCCCCCCCAUUCAAAAGCAUUCCCAAUGAUGUUUCAGAGAGAGCAGAGGCUCUAAAAGAUACGUGACAUUCAUAGAUUUCACCCCUGGAGCCACAAAACCCACACUAGCAAUUUCUUCAUUUGACCAAAAUGAAUGGUCAUCACAAAAACAAAUGUAAGUUUGGUAUCACUGAUUUGGCUGAGACAGCUUAGGGGCUUGAACUUAAUAGACUUCCUCUGACAGAUUAGGAUCUUCUGGUACGUCUGCAUCAUCCUGUCACAGCAGAUAGCCAAGUCCAAACCACAGGCAUGGCACUGCCCUUGAUCCAUAACCUUAGAAUACAAAAUGACUGGCUAAGGAAUGUAAUAAGACUCCCAAGGAAAUACCUUUGAAGACAGUAUUCAUUUUACUUGGUGGUCUUUUAUAGAGGGGGCAAAAAAGAAGACAAUUAAGCAUUAAGAACUGAUUGAUGCUUGAACAAAAUGCCUAACAGUAAAAGCACAUUUCUAUAUUCCAAAGGACCAGGCAAAGCUAUCCCUAAGAAGGGAUUAACUACUAUCAGAUGAUAUUACUACUGGAUUAAUGGUGUUUCACAUUCACUAUAUUUAUAUAUUAAAAAAAAAAUAAUAAAAAGAUCUCUUUUAAAGAGGAUAUAAGUGAUUUGUAUAAAACCUAAAUGCCCAAAAACUAGAUUUUAUUUUUGUAGCAACAUGAUGGAUAGUAUUCUCUUCAUUUAGGCAUCUUUAAUUGAAGUAAUUUCCCCCCCUUUGCCUGAAACCAUCCCUUGCAUUUCAAGCCAAUUGUUUGGAGCGUACCACAGCCCGUGAAAACAGGAAAGCAAUGUGUGACUCCAGAACUGAUGCUUUAUAUUCCAGUGGCUAUUUUAAGCUGUUCUGAUUUGAGAGAGUUGUUUUUGUAACAGAUAUACUAAAGGUGAUCAUUUGACUUUAUUGCUAGUCGUUGCUGACUGAAAUAUUUUGCCAGAUGAAAGUAAUUACUAUGACUAUAUUGCUUUUCUACCCUGUUCAGUGUAUUGUAACUCAGAUAUUCAGAGUGUGAAAUUCUGGAUUCUCAUUUGCAAAAAAGAAAGUCCCAUUGUGCUGUGCUCUGGCCUUAAUUAUGUAAAGCCCAUAUAGAUGUUAUCCAGUUUCCUUCCCUACCUGCAUACCUUAUAUCUACCAACGGUUACAUGGAAACUCCAAUCUUGAUAUAGAACUGUGCAGAUGACAAAGCUCAACACCAUACUCAGAUAUUUGUGUUAUAAAUGAGAGAACAAGAAGCUGUUUCGACCAGAACUGAAUCACUCAGGUGAAUUUUUAAAGAAGAUGCAAGAAACAGCCGUAUCCUCGUUCAACAUUAGUUGCUACCAGCCAAAAUUAUGCGCUAGAGAAAACAAUUUGUUGAGACAUCCUCAGGAUUAUAUCCCCUGGAGAUGGGGAACAGGCCUGUGUUUCUCUCACAAAGUCACGUCUGCUUGCAGUAGACUUCUUUCAAUUCAAGCCAUAGUAAUAUGUGCACAAUAAACUCACUGUUAUAAAUAUUUACCAUUAUAUUCAUCAUCUUGGUUCUCCUGCUACCCUGACCAGCAGCCACGCUACCAUAAAUCAGGGGAAGUAUUCUGCAGGAGCUGCAAGCUGCUGUCACUGUAUUUCUGGAAACAGCCAUCCAAGAGGAGGCAAAUGGCACAGGAGACAACAGGAAUUGCAGUAGACUCCACAUUUCAAACUGCUACAUACCUUCUGCUCCAUUUACAAGAUGAAAAUGCAACGAGAUGAAACACGGUACACAGCUUAUUCCUGAGGGCCACCACUUGGAUAAAAGCGUAAAGCCUGGGGACUUUGUUUACUGUCCACAAUCAACAAAUCCUGAAAUCUCCAUAUGCAGCAGGUUUCUAAAGCUCCGGAGAAGAGUCUAGAAAAGGGGCAAAAGAGAUGCUGGAUGUAAAGAUAACGUUUCUUUUGCUCAUAAUGUUCUUUGCUAGCACCGAUAAAUAGGUUUGAGGAAAUCUACAGCCUAAUCCAAACAAACACACACCCCAAACCUAUGAAGCUAGAAAAGGAUGAAAUUAGUCUCCUCACCAGGAAGAUCUCCUCUGCAGACAGACGAUUAGCUCCUAUUCAUAACACCACCUAAGGUAAUUCAGACUCAUCAAGCUACUUAUCUCUGGUACCUGGACUGCCUCAUUGUCACGUUUGAAAAGAUUAGAAGAGAAACUUCCCCUGAAUGAGUAGUAAUACAGUAGGAGUCCUUCUGCUCCUUUAGGAUGAGGGGGAUUACAAGAGAUGGACAAGAAGGUGUGAGCUCCCAAAAGGAUGCUCUUCCCCAGAUGUUGCCCGCCUGUGUCAGGGCAGCUUUGCUUUCACACACAAAAACGGACUUGCAGCCCUUCACUGCAGGUCAGGUUCUGCUCCAGAUCAAACUCCUGGAAGUUCCAACAAAGCUUUCUGAUGGAAUUACUCAGCUCUGUCUUUGCUCGCACACUGCCUCGCUGUCCCAAAGAGAUGGCAGUAUCACUGGCUUAAAAUGCCUUUCUUCUCAGAGCCAGAGAAAGGACAGAGCACUCCAGAAAAAACUAGGAGUAAUUAAUUCCCUGGAAUUCAUGCUCCAGUCUAAUUCAGAGCUGUCUUAGAGAGGACAGCCCUUUCCUCCUUGAUGCCAAAACAUCUGCAAAGGAGACACAGCCAUAAACCGGUUACCAGCUGUCUCGCAAGGAGCUACUGGUGACCCUACAGGAUCUGUGUUACAUCUCCAAUCCCUGUGCAUCAAGCACAAUGAAAAACAGCCUCUGCUCUCCCCUUCCUUGGGAAGAAUAUUGCUGUACAUGUCCACUUGGAGACAAAGCCUUUUAAGACUCCCCAGCAUGGCUCUAGCUGGGUCUUCUGAGAUCUGUGAGCUUUCCAGGCCAAAACUGACUCAUAUUCUCAUUAAGCAAGGACUGGAGAGACCUUCAUACAUAGACUUAUUGCACAAAAAGCCUUUAUAAAAGUAAAACAUGUCUAGAAAUUAUAUCCAAUAUAUAUAUAUCUCCAGGCUCAUAAAUAAGACACAUUCUGAAAAUCAGGUGCACUGCUUAGCUGUUGCGAUGAUUUAAGUGAGCUACCAGGGAAUAUCAGCAGAAGUGACACAGAAACCAGGAAUGGACAAAGGUGAGUAAUAAACCCCAGAAAAAUCCUUGAGCCAAAAAUAUAUCAAACCCGGCUGCGCUGAUGUGUUUUCAUUGCUCAGAGAUGUAGUGCCAUUCUCAUCUGGUUAAUUCCAAUUCAGCGUUUCUUUGAUAUACCUUUUAUAAUUUUCAGUCUAAUUAUAAUGAAAAUCAUUUUUCAAUGUAAUUCUGUAAUAAAAAUGUUUCCUUAUUUCUCAUUACCUAAGAACAUGAUCUUGCACAGCUACCGAGCAUGCUUACAAUGUGUAUAGUGCAGCUUCCCUUUCUUAGUAUUUAAUCUCUUCAUAGUCUACAGAUGUCAAGAGGUUCAGAUUAAGCUUGUUAAAGAUCUGCUUCACUCUAACUCACUGAUGAUUAUUUAUUUAGCAGUUUUAUGUAACCCUGUCAUUGAUAAGCACUCUAUUAAUUUGCCGAGGGACAAAUCAACACUAGUUAUUUUUCUACUGGCUAUUAGAUUCAGUGCUGCUGUUUGUUACAAACCACUUGCCAGUUAAUUAUAAAUUAUGGGUCCUCUUUGCCUAUAUUAAUUGAUAUCUCCUCUGCCUUUGUAAUACUAGACAAAUAAAUUGAAGGCAGGAUUUAUUAAGCA